rnacentral:rRNA from 1 species
AUUGAACGCUGGCGGCAGGCCUAACACAUGCAAGUCGAACGGUAACAGGAAACAGCUUGCUGUUUCGCUGACGAGUGGCGGACGGGUGAGUAAUGUCUGGGAAACUGCCUGAUGGAGGGGGAUAACUACUGGAAACGGUAGCUAAUACCGCAUAACGUCGCAAGACCAAAGAGGGGGACCUUCGGGCCUCUUGCCAUCGGAUGUGCCCAGAUGGGAUUAGCUUGUUGGUGGGGUAACGGCUCACCAAGGCGACGAUCCCUAGCUGGUCUGAGAGGAUGACCAGCCACACUGGAACUGAGACACGGUCCAGACUCCUACGGGAGGCAGCAGUGGGGAAUAUUGCACAAUGGGCGCAAGCCUGAUGCAGCCAUGCCGCGUGUAUGAAGAAGGCCUUCGGGUUGUAAAGUACUUUCAGCGGGGAGGAAGGGAGUAAAGUUAAUACCUUUACUCAUUGACGUUACCCGCAGAAGAAGCACCGGCUAACUCCGUGCCAGCAGCCGCGGUAAUACGGAGGGUGCAAGCGUUAAUCGGAAUUACUGGGGCG